GUUGGGAUCUCCGCAGAAAGAUUCCAUGAAGUAAUGAGGGUAGCAAAGCCUAUCCUUUCACUGCAUGCAAAGCAUGCAGUUACCCAGGAAGAGCUCAUCAAUGGAAUCAAAGAUGUAGAUGGUGUUGAGGGAGACAAAAGAAGGCAACCUGCACUUCUCAGACUUGCUCUAGAUGAUGUGGUAAGUUAUAGUAUUGUCUACAACAGCAUCUGGUGCCGUCCUUCCUUUGCUUGCGAUGACAUGAUUCUCGUCCUUAAAGAUAAAGAAAUGACCAAAUGUUCUGCUAAAUGUAUUGUAUCAGCUUGAUUCUCUGAAGCCCAAGGAGAGUUUGGUGAUCAGACAACGGUAUGGGCUUGAUGGUAAAGGAGAUAGAACACUAGGAGAAAUUGCAGGAAAUCUCAACAUUUCCAGGGAAAUGGUUAGGAAGCAUGAAGUGAAGUCUCUCAUGAAGCUCAAGCAUCCAGCUCGAGUUGAUUACCUUCGUCGCUACAUUUUCUGAACUGAAUGUUGCUUCUGCAUACACCAAACAUCGUCUAGAAAUCGUGUGUACCAUAGUUUAGCAUUACUUGCACAUAAGUAUCAGUUGACAUGUAUAACCCAUUUUUCUGAAGGCAUAUUUGCCUCAGAGUUUUCAUCUUCAAUUUUCUGUGUUGCGUUUACUCACGUGAUAUAGAAAGAGAUAAAUGAAAGAAUAUUUCAAUCUCGUGCAUUCAAUCUUAGAGACUCCAAAGUUGCAUAUAUCAUAUCAGAGUUUGGAUGGUUUCUACAGCUCACCAAAAAGACAUGGCUUCUGCUGUUUAUAUCAAUCCAACUACAUCCAGGAUCCUUCUUAAACCCCUGUUGUUUCAACGCCUCCCUCAGCUUGAGCUUCUUCCCCCACUUCCCCAUCCCCGAAUACAUGUUCGACAUUAUAAUGCACGCAGAUUCUGAGUUAGGAUCCAAAGCCUGCAAUCUCCGAGCCACUCGUUCCGCUACUUCCAUCUCAAUCCACGACCAACUAGCAUGCAGCAGUAUCAUCAGAACAAUCUUGUCUGCUGCAACUGGCAUCGACUCUACAACUUCUUCGGCUUCAUGUACGAGCCCUGAUCGUCCGAGGAGUUCCACGACACAUGUCAAGUGCUCCCGCGUUGGACUUAUACCAUACUGCUCCUUCAUUGAUCGGAAAAUUGCCACUCCCUUGUCUACUAUACCUGCUCUUGCACAAGCAGAUAAGACGGCCACAAAAGUUGCUGCAUUUGGAGUCACGCCCCUCUCUAGCAUGAGACUGAAUAACGACACCGCAUCAAAGCCAAGGCUGUGCUGCGCAUGCCCGUUGAUCAGCGCCGACCAAGCUGCCACAUUGGGUGAGGAAACGCAGCUGAACGCGCCCCUUGCGUCUGCAAUGCUUCCGCAUUUUGAAUACAUGUCGAUGAGGGCUGUUCCAGCACAGAUAUUGGAGGAGAAGGGAGUUUUCGCCAAAUGGCCGUGGACCACUUGUCCCUGCUGAAGAGAUCCCAAGCAGGCACAGGCGUAGAGCAACACGGCGAAGGUGGAUGCAUUCGGACUCAUGGAUGAUCUACACAUGGUUAGGUAGAGAUCCAAUGCAUUCUCAUGCUGAUCGUUGUGAAUAUACCCAGAAAUCAUAGAGUUCCAACUAAUGGGGCUUCCUUCUAACUUUGCCUUGUCAAAAAGGUCCAAAGCUUUGUCGACCUCACCAUUCCUCGCAUACACAGAGAUCAUGGUGUUCAGAGAGCUCAAGACUUUGAGUGGCAUCUGCAUAAACAACCUCUUUGACUCCUCAACUCGACCACACCUUGCAUAAGCUUUGAUCAUCAGAUUGUAAGACACCGAAUCUUUGUUUCGCAUACUGCUGAAAAUCAACUCAGCUUCUUCCAUGGAUUCACAGCUACAAUACAAGAAAACCAGGGCGCUACCAAUGGAACACUCAUCUUCAAACCCUAAUUUUAUAACAAGCCCAUGAAUCAGCCUUCCACUCAUGAGAUCCCACAUCCUACCACAGCCUCUCACUACGCAAUCCAAAGUGAACUCAUUCGGAGUAGCCUCGCCAUUCUCUCUCAUCAUCUUGAACACCUCCAAUGCCUUGCUGCACCCAGCCUCGCUCUUCACGUACCCCGAAAUCAACGUAGUCCACUCCACCACGCCGCGUCUCGGCAUUUGAUGGAAGAUGCUCUGAGCUUCAGCCAUUGAGUUACACUCAACAUAACCAACCAACAUCAAACUCCACAACAACUCGUUUUCUUGGUGUAAUUCAUCGAAGAGUUUCCGGCCGUCGCCGAUAUGGCAAGAGUUAGCAUACAAGUACAACAAGCCGCUUCCGACAAGCUUGAAUCUUUGAUAUCCAGAUUUCAUAAGCAGCCCUUGAACCUGCUUCCCGUUGAUCAACGACAUCGCCCGGCCACAGACGCUGAGUGAGGUGGAAAAUGUGGUGUCGUUGAACUUGACGUUGGAGUGAUGCAUGAGCGAGAUCAAGCCUAGGGCGCUGGUGGUGAAAUUCCAUUUGUAGUAGCCGGUAAUCAUGGUGUUCCACGAGACGACUGUUCGUUGGGGCAUUUUGUCGAACAUCUGGCGGGCAUGGUCUAGAUCCCCGUUUCGCCAGCUGAAUGUUAGAGCUUUGUUUGUGGGGACGCCGCCGGAUUCUGUGGGAGUUAUGGGAGUCUGUUUCCAUCGUAGGUGCUUGGAGGUGGCGUUCAACUUAAACAGGUGGCGUAGUUUGUUUUCGUUGCGAUUAAGCAUAUUUGUUUAACUAGUGCGUAACCCGUCUAAAUUCGACGGGGAGCCACUUUAUGUUGUAAUUAUUAUUGUACAUUUUUUUAUUACAACAUAUAAAUAAUUUUUAUAUAAAUUAUUUAAAAUUUUAAUUUUAUUUUAUCAAAAUAAAUUGCUAGUAUAGAUCAAGCCUUUUGGCUAGUUAUAGUUCUUAUUGAGAGUUAAAAUAGAUUGUCUUUUUAUACAUUAUUUGAUGAAAUUUCAUAAAAAGUUGAUGUAAGCUUGACGAUUUUAAAAAAUAAUAAGAAAAAGAUUUAGGUCUAUUUGACAUAAUAUAUGAUGAAGAAUUGACACAUCGUAUUUUUUUGUUAAUUAUAUAUAAAAAAAUUACUAAUUUUCAGGAGUGUAAUUUUUAUAAAUUGAUAGACAAAAUUUAAGACCAUGUCUUAUAUAUGAAUAUCAUCUCAUCGGAACCUUACAAAACUUUUGAACAUCAUCUUAUCUGUAGCUUGAAAUAUCACAUUAAACUUUGUACAUUGAACUUCUAAUCAUUAUCUUUUUUGAAGAUUGUUAUAUGAGAUUUGGCUUAUGGGUAUCAUCUCAUCUUAUUCUUGAAAAGAUAAAACUUAACUCGUAAGCAACAUCUCAUUUGGAGCUCAUAGACCAUAACUGAUUUGUGAGCAUCAUCUCGUGCGAAGCUUAGAAAAACUAUAACUAAUUUGUGUAGCAUCUUCUUGUGUGGAACUUGAAAGACCAUAACUGAUUUGUGAACAUCAUCUCGUCUAUACUUUGAUAGACAGAGCUUAGUUCUAAGCAUUACUCACUUGGAGCUUGAAAGGCUGGAGCUGAGUGCUAACCAUUAUCUCAUUUAAAGCUUCAAAGGCCGAAAUUAAGUUGUGAACAUCAUUUUGUUUGGAACUUGACAAACUAUAUCUAAUUUGUGAGCAUCAUAUUGUUAGAAGCCAAAAUACUUGUAAGACUAUAACUGACUUGUAAGCAUCAUCUCAUGUAGAACUUGAAAGACUAUAUAAUUGACUUGUAAGCAUCAUCUCGUUCAUAGUUUGAUAGAUUGAAGCUGAGUUCUAAGAAUCAGNUUUAUUUCUGAUUCUAUUCCAGAUAGGUCCAUGUAUUCCUCGAAUUGUUUUGCCGAAACAUUUUUAUGCAAUGUAAAGCGUGAUCUAAACUAUUUCUCGAUACAGGUCCGAGCUGAUAUUCAAAGGGCCAAGCUAGAGUUGUUGUUUGAACUUCAGAGAUUGCCAACUGAUGGAGAAAUUAUAGAUCGAGUUGGGAUCUCCGCAGAAAGAUUCCAUGAAGUAAUGAGGGUAGCAAAGCCUAUCCUUUCACUGCAUGCAAAGCAUGCAGUUACCCAGGAAGAGCUCAUCAAUGGAAUCAAAGAUGUAGAUGGUGUUGAGGGAGACAAAAGAAGGCAACCUGCACUUCUCAGACUUGCUCUAGAUGAUGUGGUAAGUUAUAGUAUUGUCUACAACAGCAUCUGGUGCCGUCCUUCCUUUGCUUGCGAUGACAUGAUUCUCGUCCUUAAAGAUAAAGAAAUGACCAAAUGUUCUGCUAAAU
rnacentral:lncRNA from 1 species